AUGUGUAAAUACAAUUCUUGUCACGUUGUCUGCGCCCUGCUCUCUUCACACCCCGGCAUAUGUUGCAGCAGAGCCUGGAUCAGUGCCACAUGCAAGCCUGCUGCCCCAGCUACUCUCCCUGCUCUCCGCCACCUGUGCUCCCUCCCUCAGCGCCUGGCUCCGGGCUCUCUGGCUCUGACACACACCUGUGACUGGGAAAUAGUCUCCAGCCGAUGCCUCUCCUCCACCUCCGAGCUGUCACUCAUCCAGUUCUUCCGCAACACAAGUUUUAUAGACAACCCCCAUGGAAACUCUACACAAUCUCCUCAAAUUAAGCACAUCAACCCACUCCUGUCAACUCACAGGAAAUUCAGAACAGUGCUAAAGUAGGACAGCAGAGAUUUCUUUUCAUUAGGAUGUCUUCCAACUCACCCACAUGUCGUUCCAAACAUGUUUGACUUUCUUUCUUCUUCGGAACACAAAAGGAGAUGUUUUGAAGAAUGCCCACGCUGCUCUUUUCCAUAUUUCACUAUUAACUAGUUGCUUAUUAGCAUGCAUAUUCCUAGCAUGAUUGAUUUUUAUUAGUACUUAUGAAGCACUUAUUAAUGCCUUGUUCUGCAUGAACGUAUUUUAGAGCCCUUAAUCCUACUCCAUACAUAAACUUAACAAUUACCUUGCUAAAAGUUAAUUGGGAAUUUUUUAAGGGAAAAGUCAUAGUUAAUGGUCCCCAAACUAAAGCGUGACCCUCUAGUUUUUGAAACUAGUCUAGUUUCAAAAAUAUUAUGACUUUUGCAUGUUCCAAAAAUCCUUGCAAGUUAUAUGAUGGCUUUAUAAUUUAUUCUUUGUAAUUUGCAUAUUUCUUUCAGUUUUAAUUUGUGAUUGCAAGUGCAUUUUAAAACUUAGCACUGUGAAUCAGUUUCUCAGUUUUUUUCUUUUGGCUUAAGAAGAUGUGGAAUGUACUGCUCAAUUCAGAUGGACCACUUUUAUGAUGCUGUUCAUGGUGCUUUUUCAUUCUCAGCCCACUUUAUAUUGAGUAUCUUUAAUUAAACUUGUACAUACUAUAGAUAUGCACCUAUAUAUGUUUUUACAUUGUUCUUAUAUUUUAAAAAUACCAGCAUGUUUUUACAUCUACAAUUAUUUUUUGUAAUUACAUGUGUAAUUACAAUAUAGAUCCUACACCUACCGCUUAACCAACCUUUAAACCUAACAAUACCAAGAAACCUGUUACUAACCUUACCCAUAUCCUAUCCCAAUAGCAGUAAUAAAAUACAACAUGAACACA
ensembl:lncRNA